rnacentral:lncRNA from 1 species
GCCCCGGGCCGCGGUUCCGCGGGUGGCCGCUGUACGCUUGAGACACCUGGUCCGCAGAAGUCAGGUGCACGUCUGUGCACCGUCGUGCGUUGGAUGUGCAUGGAGGCGAGAUCGUGGUUAUGGAUGUCUGGGAUCACGGGAGCGUGAACGGGGCGAUCGACUGAGUGACUUGAGAGACGGGGUAGAGCGCAGGAAGGACCCCUAGGACGGGCCCACCUGCGACGGGCGGCGGUGGGGGAGUGGGGGGCUUGCCGGCGCGUUCACAGGCUCUGGGUUCGCGUUCGGAAACGCUUUCGCAGGGAGCGGGUCGGGAUUCCCCGGAGCAGCACGGUGACGGCGUGCCACAAUCCGGGCUCCAGCUGUGCCGCCUCCGCCCUCCCCAUCCCUGCUAAGGGGCACCUGGCCUGGCUGUCAACUUCCCCUCGAACCAUGGGUUUGCCUUGUGGACCCGCAGCUUCCCCUCUGCCUGCUUCUGCUCUGUCGCGCCUUCGGAAGGGCAUGCUGCUCUCUCCCCUCCACUCCCUCCUUUACACAUGAGGACCCUGAAUCCCAGAGGUGCAGUCAUGUACCCAAGGCCACGUACCUGCUGGUGGCAGAGCUGGGAUGGGACCCUGGGACCUUAAAGAGAGCAAGUCCAAACCCACUCCUAAGAAGCCGGUGCUGCUGAGCUGCCUACCCCUGCUCCUACAGCAAGUUGCCACGCUGGCUCCCACCGGCCUCUUUCCAGAUCAUGAAGGUAUUUUUCCUUCAUCAAAUUGAGAGGAAGUCCGUAGUAAAGCUGCCCGUUGACCAGGUGCCCUGGCAGGAGGGACUGGCUUAUGCCACCCUGUGCAGGAUCGUCUUCUCAGCUUACAGAGCCUAGUGUGAUUCAACAACCCUCCAUCUCUGCCCCCAACAUGCCCAACUGAUCUGGUGGAGGGAACUGAAGAUGAAGGCCUCUCAGGCACCAUGGAUGGGAUGGGUGUGUGUGAAGGGGGCAGGGUCCCCAGGAGCUGCCCCAGGUCUGGCUGGACAGUUGCACGGGAAGUCCUGUUUGUGAACUCAACGUUUCCACGGCUUUUCCAUUAAACUUUACCCCAAAUCACACCUGGCUCUGUGGGUUUCCUUCCAUUCUCCAAGGCCUCCCUGGGGUCUCUGGGAAGUGUGGGCCAGGGAAGGGGGCAAAGGAC